rnacentral:lncRNA from 1 species
GACUGUUUUUCCUGUGCUUUUCAGUGCUUCUUUUAGAGAUACGAAGUUAAAACCAUAAGUAGAACUGAAAGAAUUCAAACCUAAGAGAGAGUUUGAGAAAUGCACCUGGAGAAACAGAGACCAGAUCAAGAACGGAUGUUCAGAUUAUUCACUAUUGUGAAACAGUCCUGUGAUGCUGUCAUUAGGUGAUCACUGAGAGAGUGGU